GUCUCUGUGGCGCUACGGGUUAGCGCGUUCGGCUCUUGAUCGAAAGGUUGGUGCUUCGAAUCCAUCCAGGGACG
rnacentral:tRNA from 1 species